rnacentral:piRNA from 1 species
UGGGUUUAUGCAGGAUUAUGAUACAUUUGC